ACGCUCUUUCGAUCCCCUUCUUUCGUACAUAGGCAUGCCGUGAUCGAGCUAGUUUUAACCAGUCUUUCACGGCACACGAAACACUGGUUUCGGUUGCAUCACCAAUUUCCUUCUUGCCAAGAAAGGUUUGUUUCACAGCCUCUGAGAAAAAAUACAUCAAAAGGAAGGUACAAUAUCACGAUAUUGAUAACUGAUAAGGAAUAAUUUCAAUGUAAAUUGUGAUGAAUCUCGAAUAUAUUGGGAAAAAAGUUAACAGUUUGCAUAAUUUGAAUAAUAAUGUGUGAAUAAUAUUGUUUUCACACGAUAAAUCCAAGUAAUAACUGUUUCUCGAAAAUUUCAUGAAUUAUUCAUUACCGUAAACAGUUUCCAUUGUCAAUGUCUUUUGAAAUGGGACUUUGUCCCUCCCUGCCCAAUUGAAUUGCAUCGCUAAUUCGUUUGUGAGUAGUGACCUCAUUAUAGCCAACACACAUUGGCGACCGCUUGUCCCUCCAACAGAAGCCAGUUUCCCGGUCUGCAACAAAAUACUAAAAUGAAUGAAUGUCGAAUUGAAUUCAAAAUAUUCUUACUGUUAUCAACAUCGAUAACAAUUUUGACUAGUUGGAGAUUGUCGAUUCCUAAUAUUUUUUCAGCAUUUUUUAACGUUAACCCUCUCGAUCAGACCGAGACCGAUUUCAUGUUGAAUGAAAAUCUCUCACCAUAUUGAUAUUUCGAUGGGUGAAAGCAGUUUACCUCAGGGUUUAGGAGUAUCUAUAAGGCCAUCUGACCUUGCUUAAUGGAACUAUGCAGUUAGAACCCUGACCUUGCGACCGAUACAGUUUUAUGAAGCCUCAAAGUGCGUGUUGCGUAGAAGCAACAUACGGUCCGAGAGGGUUAAAACGUUACGAACCGCAAUUCUGUAUGCCUGUAGUAAUUUUCAUUAUUCCUUUGCAGUCAACACAUACCGAGCGUAUUCUUCAAUGAGAGACAACCCCCUCCCUAGUGCUAAGCCAACUCAGGCACAUGACGCGUACGUGAAGUUCGGUCGAGUGGAGACUAACAUGGCCACUGGCAUUCUAUCCCCUCCCGGCCGAGCCUCAUGUGCCUGUGUUGGUUUGCGCUAGGGAGGGGGUUGGCCCUCAUUGAAGAAUACGCUCGGUAUUAGUACCUAUCCGUAUGUCAUGACAUACAUAUUUUGAAUAUGAUUGCAAGGUCUACUCACUAAAUAAGUUCGAUGCUCUUCGGAUUUCAGGAUAUUUUCGAGGUUGGAGAAGUCUUCCAUGGAGUUAAGAGGAAGUUUUGGGAAUUCGGCUGGUUUCUUUGUUACGUCGAUGCUGACUUCCUUCUGUUUUGAGAAGAUUUUACGUAGUAGCAGAUGGUUUUGUUCAGUGUAGGAUUUAAUGUGUUCUAAAUACUGCAGAGUUUUUUCUUCAAAGGUAUUCUGUUCGCGUGAUGUGGUCGGGGUUGAAGG
rnacentral:lncRNA from 1 species